UAAAUAAGGGUAGAUGGCGGAUGCCUUGACACUAAACGGCGAAGAAGGACGUGGCGUAGCUGCGAUAAGUCUCGGGGAGGUGCGUAGCAACCUUUGAUCCGGGAAUGUCCGAAUGGGGAAACCUGGUAGAGCAAACCUCUAUCGCUUCAACACGCUAGUUGAAGAGCGCACCCAGGGAACUGAAACAUCUAAGUACCUGGAGGAGUAGAGAAUAAUAAUUUAUUCCCUAAGUAGCGGCGAGCGAAAAGGGAAGAGCCUAAACCUGUUUUUUCUUCCGCAAGGAAGAAGGGGCGGGGGUUGAAAGAUGAGAUAUGUCUUCGAACUUGAAAAGCUUUGAGUUCGAGGGGAAAGUUACAAAAUGAUUUGCUAGCCGAAUCUCCUGGAAAGGAGAACCACAGCGGGUGAUAGUCCCGUAAGCGAAAGUGAAUCAUCUUUCUAAUAUUUUAUUCUUAAGUACCGCGAGGCCAAUAAACCUCGUGGGAAUCCGGGAGUACUGUCUCCUAAGGCUAAAUACGUUUGGUGAUCGAUAGUGAACUAGUACCGUGAGGGAAAGGUGAAAAGCAGCCCGGUUAGGGCGGUGAAAUAGUACCUGAAACCAUCUACUUACAAGGAAGCGGAGCUUGCGAGUGACGCUGUGCCUAUUGAAGAAUGAGCCAACGAGUUUACGUAUGUUGCAAAGUCUAAUCCGCGUUCGCGGAGGAGGCGUAGCGAAAGCGAGUCUUAAUAGGGCGAACUUAAUCAGUAACAUAGCCCCUCUUUCUUAGGGGUUGUGUUACCGGUUAAUAAGCAUCAUGCGUAAGACCCGAAACCAGACGAGCUUGCCCUGGCCAGGAUGAACUCCCGCGAAAGCGGGAGGGAGGUCCGUACCGGUGAGUCGUGCAACGCUCUCGGAUGAGCUGGGGUAAGGAGUGAAAAGCUAAUCGAGUUUGGUAAUUGCUGGUUCUCUCCGAAAUAGUUUUCGGACUAGCCUUAUAUGUUUCCUUUUGGAGGUAGAGCACUGGAAGAUGCGAACAGGGCGCAAGCUCGUCGCAUCUAUCAAACUCCGAAUGCCAGAAGGUAAAAAUAUGGGAGUCAGACUGUGGGGGCUAAGCUCCAUGGUCGCGAGGGGAAGAGCCCAGAUCGCCGUCUAAGGUCCCAAAGUUCGUACUAAGUGUCAAAGGUAGUUUGUGUCCACAAACAGAUAGGAGGUUGGCUUAGAGGUAGCCAUCCUUUAAAGAGUGUGUAACAACUCACUAUUCGAGGGCGCGGGCGCCAAAAAUUUAUCGGGGCUAAAGUACGACACCGAAGACGCGAAUUCCGAGAGUGGUAGGAGAGCAUUCUUUGCGCGGCGAAGGCGAGCUCGUGAGGGCCGCUGGAGUGCAAAGAAGAGAGAAUGUUGGCAUGAGUAAUCAACAAAGCGCGUGAAAAACGCGCUCCCCGCAAAUCCAAGGUUUCCUCCGCAACGCAAAUCGACGGAGGGUUAGGCGGCCCUAAGGCGAUGGCGAAAGCCGCAGCCGAAGGAGUGCUGGUUAAUAUUCCAGCCCACCGCUUGGGGGAUACAGAUGAGGUGACGAAGAAAAUAAACUUGAGUGCCUUAAUGGUUUGGCAUUCUUGCGUUAAGAAACGGCAUGCAGGAAAAUCCGCGUGUCUGCCUUCAAUGGCGAUUUUCAGACGAGAGAAGAGGUUUGGUUUUACCGAAUCAAUUCAAGCGAAUAGUCUUCCAAGAAAACCCUCUAAUGUGCACCCAAAUGGUUCCGUACCGUAAACCGCCACAGGUGGAUGAGGCGAGUAGCCUAAGGGGAACGAGUGAUUUCUCGCUAAGGAACUCGGCAAAAAAGCGGCCGUAACUUCGGGAUAAGGCCUGCUCCGCGCAAGCGGAGCCGCAGCUAAAGUUUCUCUGGCGACUGUUUACCAAAAACACAGCUCCCUGCGAACUCGCAAGAGGAUGUAUAGGGGGUGACACCUGACCGAUGCGAGAAGGUUAACGGCGGGGACGUUAUGCAGCAAUGCGUAAGGUUCACUGCCCGAAGCCCUCGUCAAUGUCAGCGGUAACUAUAACCGUUCUAAGGUAGCGCAAUUCCUUUCCGGGUAAGUUCCGGAGCGCACGAAAGGUGUAACGACUGGAGAACUGUCUCAGCGAGAAGCUCGAUGAAAAUGCGAUACCCGUGAAGACGCGGGUUACCGGCAGCAAGACGAAAAGACCCCGGAAGCUUUACUGUAGUUUGGUAUUGUUAUUAACGUUUGGAUGCGUAGCGUAGUGGCGAGCCUUCGAAGCGUGGAUUUCGGUUCACGUGGAGGCGACAAUGAAACAGCCAUCUUUCAAAUGUUAGUAUCUAACCCGCGCGGCAAAAACGCGCAGGGACAGUGCCUGACGGGCAGUUUAAAUGGGGCAUUUUCCUCCUAAAGAGUAACGGAGGAGUCUAUUAAGGUCAGCUUGGCGCGGAUGGAAAUCGCGCCUGACGUGCAAAGGCAUAAGCUGGCUUGACUGCAAGGCUGACAGGCCGCGCAGGUGCGAAAGCAGAGCUUAGCGACCCGACCGUUCAUCAUAGAAUGGCGGGAGACAUCGGAUAAAAGUUACUCCGGGGAUAACAGGCUAGUCUGGUCCGAGAGUCCCUAUCGACGACCAGGUUCGGCACCUCGAUGUCGGCUCACCACAUCCCGGGGCUGGAGAAGGUCCCAAGGGUUUGGCUGUUCGCCAAUUAAAGUGGUACGUGAGCUGGGUUCAGCGAGAGGACCGGGAUGAACGAACCUCUGGUCUACGAGCUGUCCUACCAAGGGCAAUGCUCGGUAGCUAUGUUCGGACGGGAUAAGCGCUGAAAGCAUCUAAGCGCGAAGCCUCUCCCAAGAUUAGGCGUAGAAUUCCUGGAAGACUACCAGGUUGAUAGGCCAUAGGUGUAAGUGCGGCAACGCAUUUAGCCGAGUGGUACUAAUAA
rnacentral:rRNA from 2 species